ACGGGGAUCGAGCGACUCCCCGGCCUGACCCCGGUACCUGAUACGGCCGGGGCGG
ncrna:Streptosporangium roseum DSM 43021 L17-Actino-Proteobacteria ribosomal protein leader